rnacentral:rRNA from 1 species
CCUACGGGAGGCAGCAGUGAGGAAUAUUGGUCAAUGGACGGAAGUCUGAACCAGCCAUGCCGCGUGCAGGAAGACGGCUCUAUGAGUUGUAAACUGCUUUUGUACAAGGGUAAACCUGAAUACGUGUAUUCAGCUGAAAGUACUGUACGAAUAAGGAUCGGCUAACUCCGUGCCAGCAGCCGCGGUAAUACGGAGGAUCCAAGCGUUAUCCGGAUUUAUUGGGUUUAAAGGGUGCGUAGGCGGAUUGAUAAGUUAGAGGGGAAAUGUCCGAGCUUAACUCGGGAACUGCCUCUAAUACUGUUGAUCUAGAGAGUAGAUGCGGUAGGCGGAAUGUAUGGUGUAGCGGUGAAAUGCUUAGAGAUCAUACAGAACACCGAUUGCGAAGGCAGCUUACCAAUCUAUAUCUGACGUUGAGGCACAAAAGCGUGGGGAGCAAACAGGAUUAGAUACCCUAGUAGUC